CGAAAAUUAGCGUAGUGGAUAACGCGGUAUUCUGUAAUAAUACUUUUCAUUGGUUCGAAUCCAAUAUUUUCAU
rnacentral:tRNA from 1 species